CCCUAAUGAUGAAAACCUCACAUGUCCGACCUGCAUAUUGGUACCAGAGCCUGAAAAGGUGAACCCACUGGCACCAUUUGUAGGAGAGGAUGGACAAACUGUUCCAGCUGGAACAGUCUGACAGGGC